GCAGCACUAGAUAGAACUUUUUGACAGUUGUAGUCGUCUGCUUUUCGUGGUUUGUCAUUCAUCCACAUGUCAUUUUCUUCUUCGUGUUUUCAGUAAAACUUUUUUACUUCAAGUUACUUGAAGUCAAAUUUAUUACAGAUUUUUAAAGUAUUUUCAAGUGAAAAGGGAAGGAAGAAUGGAGGACCAUGUUGAAGACAAGAAAAAGGCUCACCGGGAACGCCGUGCUGGGCGCAAAGCGGACAAGAAAAAUUCAAGGAUCCACACGUCCAAGAAAUGGAUGAGAAAAGCUUUUGCUAUCCAGUCAGUAGCCAAGUCUCAGAAAUGUUUUCACAGGGCCCGUAAAUGAAAAAGCAGCAUAGACAGGACUCCCCUAGAACCCCCACCGAUCAUGGUAGCCAUUGUUGGCCCACCCAAAGUUGGAAAAAACACUCUACUCCAAGCUCUAAUAAAAAACUUUACACGAAAGAAUAUCACAUCCAUACAGGGGCCCGUUACCAUCGUCACGGGGAAAGAAACGAAGGGUGACUUUUAUGGAAUGCAAUAACGACAUCAACUCGAUAGACAUCGCCAAAGUGGCUGACCUUGUUCUUGCUUGCUUUUGACUGAUGCUUCGUUUGGCUUCGAAAUGGAAAUUUUGAAUUUCUCAACAUCUGUCAGGUGCAUGGAUUUCACCGAGUAUUAGGCGUUCUGAUGACUCAUUGGACAUGGUCAAGAAUAACAAGUAGCUGAAAAAACGAAUAAAGUUUUGAAGCACAGAUUUUUUACGGAAGUGUAACAGGGAGCAAAAUUGUUUUACCUCUGGUCAACUCCACGGAACCUACCCUAAAAACGAGAUCAAGAACCUCGGCCACUUCAUCUCGGUCAUGAAAUUCCGACCUCUGCUGUGGAAAUCGACUCUUCCUUACGUCUUGGUGGACCGAUUGGAAUACAUGACACCUCC